rnacentral:rRNA from 1 species
UACGGAGGGUGCAAGCGUUGUUCGGAAUCAUUGGGCGUAAAGCGCGUGUAGGCGGCUUGGCAAGUCAGUUGUGAAAGCCCGGGGCCCAACCCCGGAAUUGCAUCUGAAACUGCCUAGCUAGAGUCCCGGAGAGGAAGGCAGAAUUCCCGGUGUAGGGGUGAAAUGCGCAGAUAUCAGGAAGAACACCAAUGGCGAAGGCAGCUCUCUGGGACGGUACUGACGCUGAGACGCGAAAGCGUGGGGAGCGAACAGG